AUGUGACUUCUCCAAGGCCAUCCCACCAGGCCAGUGGCAGAACCAGGAAAAAAAAUACACAUGCUCAAGGACAGAGGCGGGGGCUGCUUCGGUGCCACAGGUGACAAAGGUUGCCCGUGGGAUCCAGCUAAAUAGAAAAUGACUCCGGAGGAAUUCUGGGGCGGUUGAAGCCAGUGUGCACUGGGCGACAGGAGGGCUACAGAGACAGGCAGGCUGGAAGUGGCGGCUGCUGCAUAAAAGCUAACACAAGCUCAUUUUCAAGUAGCCGCCAAGAGUGCUGUUGUGCAGAUCGCCUUUUCAUUUGGUCUCUCGCGCUGCUCCCGAGCUCACUCGCCGAACGCCGCUCCCAGCCCACCAAAACAUAUUCAAUAAACAGGGAAAUCCAUCUCCUUCGGCUUACGGCAGCAUUGUCUUCAGCCCCUUGGAGAUGAGACAGCUGUGCUCCCGUUUAUCACUUCAGCCACAUGGAGCGUGAUUGCA